CUAGCUAACGUGCGUCCUCUCUCCAUAUUAAUCCACAGGUAUGCUAAAGUUGUUUUAUGUCUCUCACUUGGGUUAAGAUCGAAGGUAAAUGCCUGUAAAUGUUCUGUAAUGUUUUAACAUGACUGUAGAUGUGUGACCAAUGUAGUUCGCUGUAUACAUAUACAUAUACAUAACAUAUUACAGUACAGUUUUUUCCGAUUGCUAAACGACAGUGGGCACAACUGGAGUCACAUGUGCAAAACUAACUACAGUCUGAGCUAAACAGUUCACAUCACCUGCAAAACUCACUCCAAGUAACACAACUCUUUACACGUGGCUCAAAACAGGCUCAGUGCAGCAAACACUGCACUGAGCAAACAAGUGUGCUGGGACCCGUAACACAAGCCUCACUGAGAGAACACACACUGUCACUCAGAACACACAGAGUAAAAACACCAGCAUCAAACACCAAUACACAAAAUACUAACUGUUCAUCUUUACAGUUUGAACCAUUUCAGUGACAUCAUACAAAGUAAUAUUUUCUUCAAAGAAAAGAGCAAUAUAUAUAUGUGUGUAUAUAUGUAUGUGUGUGUAUAUGUGUGUGUAUAUAUGUAUGUAUAUAUAUGUGUGUGUGUAUAUAUGUACGUAUAUAUCUAUGUAUGUAUGUACGUAUAUACAGUGGGGCAAAAAAGUAUUUAGUCAGCCACCAAUUGUGCAAGUUCUCCCACUUAAAAAGAUUGGAGCGGCCUGUAAUUUUCAUCAUACUUACACGUCAACUAUCAGAGACAUUAUAGGAUUUUUAAUGAAUUUAUUGGUAAAUUAUGGUGGAAAAUAAGUAUUUGGUCAAUAACAAGUACAUCUCAAUACUUUGUUGUAUACCCUUUGUUGGCAAUGACAGAGGUCAAACGUUUCCUGUUCUUCACAAGGUUGUCACACACUUGCUGGUAUUUUGGCCCAUUCCUCCAUGCAGAUCUCCUCUAGAGCAGUGAUGUUUUGGGGCUGUCAAUGGGCAACACAAAUUUUCAACUCCCUCCAAGGAUUUUCUAUGGGGUUUAGAUCUGGUGACUGGCUAGGCCACUCCAGGACCUUGGAAUUGUUCUUACGGAGCCACUCCUUCGUUGCCCGGGCGGUGUGUUUGGGGUCAUUGUCAUGCUGAAAAACCCACCCACGUUUCAUCUUCAAUGCCCUUGCUGGUGGAAGGAGGUUUUCACCCAAAAUCUCACGAUACAUGGCUCCAUUUAUGCUUUCCUUUACACGGAUCAGUCGUCCUGGUCCCUUUGCAAAAAAACAGCCCCAAAGCAUGAUGUUUCCACCCCAUACUUCACAGUAGGUAUGGUGUUCUUCGGACGCAACUCAGCAUUCUUUCUCCUCCAAACACGACGAGUUUGUACCAAAAAGUUCUAUUUUGGUUUCAUCUGACCAUAUGACAUUCGCCCAAUCCUCUUCUGGAUCAUCCAAAUGCUCUCUAGCAAACCUCAAACGGGCCUGGAGAUAUACUGGCUUAAGCAGGGGGACACGUCUGGCACUGCAGGAUUUGAGUCCCUGGCGGCGUAGUGUGUUACUGAUGGUAGCCUUUGUUACUUUGGUCCCAGUUCUCAGCUGGUCAUUCACUAGGUCCCCCCGUGUGGUUCUGGGAUUUUGCCACCGUUCUUGUGAUCAUUUGACCCCACGGGGUGAGAUCUUGCGUGGAGACCCGUCUCGAGGGAGAUUAUCAGUGGUCUUGUAUGUCUUCCAUGUUCUUAUAAUUGCUCCCACAGUUGAUUUCUUCACACCAAGCUGUUGACCUAUUGCAGAUUCAGUCUUCCCAGCCUGGUGCAGGUCUGCAAUUUUGUUUCUGGUGUCCUUUGACAGCUCUUUGGUCUUCGCCAUAGUGGAGUUUGGACUGUGACUGUUUGAGGUUGUGGACAGGGGUCUUUUAUACUGAUAACAAGUUUAAACUGGUGCCAUUAAUACAGGUGCGAGUGGAGGACAGAGGGGCCUCUUAAAUAAGAAGUUACAGGUCUGUGAGAGCCAGGCAUUUUGCUUGUUUGUAGGUGACCAAAUACUUAUUUUCCACCAUAAUUUACCAAUAAAUCCAUUAAAAAUCCUACAAUGUAAUUUUCUGGAUUUUUUUUCUCAUUUUGUCUCUCAUAGUUGACGUGUACCUAUGAUGAAAAUUACAGGCCGCUCCAAUCUUUUUAAGUGGGAGAACUUUCACAAUUGGUGGCUGACUAAAUACUUAUUACCUAUUACCUAAAUACUUUUUUGCUCCACUGCAUAUAUGUAUGUAUGUAUUAUACAUGUGUGUAUGUGUGUGUGUUCACGAACAAGUCUAAAACAAGACACCUGCUCAGCCUUUCAGCUGAAAUCAGUAGGGCCGAGAUCCUCCUUGUGGCAGUGGCAAGUGGGUGGCAACUUUGUGACAGGCAGCGGCAAUCGCCAGUAAAUCAGUCGGCGUCACAACGGCACGCUGGGUGGGAGGAGCCAAUUUUUCCCAGAAACAACUGUUAUUUGUACGACAGGUCAGCUGCUGUAAAUAUUUUAUUUUAUUUAAUUUUAUUUGAGACACGUGAGCCCCCGUCUUCUUAUUACAGAGGCUAAUUUUAGUUUGGACCGGCGGGUUCCGUGUAGGGGGUGGGGCUCUCAAGUUUGAUGCCACCCACUUGCCACUGCCACAAAGAGGAUCUCGCUGUCACUCGCUGAAAUUGCAAUCAGCAGUGUUUGAAAAGGCACAUUCCGUUUUGAAUGUGUGGUUCACAGUUUUGAGAGCAGUGUUUUAGCAUUUGAACAAAGUGCUGUACAUCCACAGUGUUGUGCAGGUUGUGGAUAAGUCAUGGGAUAAGUGUGUAGAGUUUUUAAAACUGUGGUCAAGCAAUGAAAAACGAACGAGAGUUUGGUCCACAUGAACUGCUGCUGUGCAGACUGUAGUUAGAGUUUUGCACAUGUGACUCCAGUCGUGCCCACUGUUGUUUAGCGCUCGAAAAAACUGUAAUCCACAGGCUACACAGUGCUUCCUAGCCUGUGUAACCUUUGCUGCCGGUUGCCAGAUUGGAAAUGGUGACGUAUCGUACCAAAGGCUCAAAAUGGUCGUAUUUGGAGGAUAAUUAUCGUGUAUCUGGCAACAUUGAGAUCGGUUGACCAAUGACUGUUCUCUCUACAGUCAGAGCUCGCGCAAGAAAGUGGAACGUAAGGAAGACACCAUUUCCAAAACUUGGUGAACUUCCUGGUGGAGUGGAGCUGAGGCCAUCAGGCAGAUCAGACGCAGCUGGCCACUGUCU
ensembl:lncRNA